rnacentral:rRNA from 1 species
GCACAAGCGGUGGAGCAUGUGGUUUAAUUCGAAGCAACGCGAAGAACCUUACCAGGUCUUGACAUCCCGAUGCUAUUUCUAGAGAUAGAAAGUUACUUCGGUACAUCGGUGACAGGUGGUGCAUGGUUGUCGUCAGCUCGUGUCGUGAGAUGUUGGGUUAAGUCCCGCAACGAGCGCAACCCUUAUCCCUAGUUGCCAUCAGGUAAAGCUGGGAACUCUGGGGAGACUGCCGGUGAUAAACCGGAGGAAGUGGGGAUGACGUCAAGUCCUCAUGGCCCUUAUGGGUAGGGCUUCACACGUCAUACAAUGGUCGGUACAGAGGGUUGCCAAGCCGCGAGGUGGAGCCAAUCCCAGAAAGCCGAUCGUAGUCCGGAUUGUUCUCUGCAACUCGAGAGCAUGAAGUCGGAAUCGCUAGUAAUCGCGGAUCAGCAUGUCGCGGUGAAUACGUUCCCGGGUCUU